UACGUAGGGUGCAAGCGUUGUCCGGAAUUAUUGGGCGUAAAGAGCUCGUAGGCGGUCUGUCGCGUCGGCUGUGAAAUCCCGGAGCUCAACUCCGGGUCUGCAGUCGAUACGGGCAAACUGGAGUACUGCAGGGGAGACUGGAAUUCCUGGUGUAGCGGUGAAAUGCGCAGAUAUCAGGAGGAACACCAAUGGCGAAGGCAGCUCGCUGGGACGGUACUGACGCUGAGACGCGAAAGCGUGGGGAGCGAACAGG
rnacentral:rRNA from 1 species